rfam:Felis catus isolate Cinnamon breed Abyssinian chromosome D1, whole genome shotgun sequence.
GCCUGGCUGGCUCAGUCAGUGGAGCAUGGGACUCUUGAUCUUGGGGUCGUGGGUUCAAACCCCACGUUAGGCA